rnacentral:rRNA from 1 species
GAUGAACGCUGGCGGCGUGCCUAAUACAUGCAAGUCGAGCGAACAGACGAGGAGUUUGCUCCUCUGAUGUUAGCGGCGGACGGGUGAGUAACACGUGGAUAACCUACCUAUAAGACUGGGAUAACUUCGGGAAACCGGAGCUAAUACCGGAUAAUAUAUUGAACCGCAUGGUUCAAUAGUGAAAGACGGUUUUGCUGUCACUUAUAGAUGGAUCCGCGCCGCAUUAGCUAGUUGGUAAGGUAACGGCUUACCAAGGCAACGAUGCGUAGCCGACCUGAGAGGUGGAUCGGCCACACUGGAACUGGAACACGGUCCAGACUCCUACGGGAGGCAGCAGUAGGGAAUCUUCCGCAAUGGGCGAAAGCCUGACGGAGCAACGCCGCGUGAGUGAUGAAGGUCUUCGGAUCGUAAAACUCUGUUAUUAGGGAAGAACAAAUGUGUAAGUAACUAUGCACGUCUUGACGGUACCUAAUCAGAAAGCCACGGCUAACUACGUG